GAUGAACGCUGGCGGCGUGCCUAAUACAUGCAAGUCGAGCGAACGGACGAGAAGCUUGCUUUUCUGAUGUUAGCGGCGGACGGGUGAGUAACACGUGGAUAACCUACCUAUAAGACUGGGAUAACUUCGGGAAACCGGAGCUAAUACCGGAUAAUAUUUUGAACCGCAUGGUUCAAAAGUGAAAGACGGUCUUGCUGUCACUUAUAGAUGGAUCCGCGCUGCAUUAGCUAGUUGGUAAGGUAACGGCUUACCAAGGCAACGAUGCAUAGCCGACCUGAGAGGGUGAUCGGCCACACUGGAACUGAGACACGGUCCAGACUCCUACGGGAGGCAGCAGUAGGGAAUCUUCCGCAAUGGGCGAAAGCCUGACGGAGCAACGCCGCGUGAGUGAUGAAGGUCUUCGGAUCGUAAAACUCUGUUAUUAGGGAAGAACAUAUGUGUAAGUAACUGUGCACAUCUUGACGGUACCUAAUCAGAAAGCCACGGCUAACUACGUGCCAGCAGCCGCGGUAAUACGUAGGUGGCAAGCGUUAUCCGGAAUUAUUGGGCGUAAAGCGCGCGUAGGCGGUUUUUUAAGUCUGAUGUGAAAGCCCACGGCUCAACCGUGGAGGGUCAUUGGAAACUGGAAAACUUGAGUGCAGAAGAGGAAAGUGGAAUUCCUUGUGUAGCGGUGAAAUGCGCAGAGAUGUGGAGGAACACCAGUGGCGAAGGCGACUUUCUGGUCUGUAACUGACGCUGAUGUGCGAAAGCGUGGGGAUCAAACAGGAUUAGAUACCCUGGUAGUCCACGCCGUAAACGAUGAGUGCUAAGUGUUAGGGGGUUUCCGCCCCUUAGUGCUGCAGCUAACGCAUUAAGCACUCCGCCUGGGGAGUACGACCGCAAGGUUGAAACUCAAAGGAAUUGACGGGGGCCCGCACAGGCGGUGGAGCAUGUGGUUUAAUUCGAAGCAACGCGAAGAACCUUACCAAAUCUUGACAUCCUUUGACAACUCUAGAGAUAGAGCCUUCCCCUUCGGGGGACAAAGUGACAGGUGGUGCAUGGUUGUCGUCAGCUCGUGUCGUGAGAUGUUGGGUUAAGUCCCGCCACGAGCGCAACCCUUAAGCUUAGUUGCCAUCAUUAAGUUGGGCACUCUAAGUUGACUGCCGGUGACAAACCGGAGGAAGGUGGGGAUGACGUCAAAUCAUCUUGCCUCUUAUGAUUUGGGCUACACCCCUGCCUACAUGGACAAUACAAAGGGCACCGAAACCGCGAAGCCAAGCCAAUCCCAUAAAGUUGGUCUCAGUUCGGAUUGGAGUCCGCAACUCUACUACAUGGAAGCUGGAAUCCCUAAUAAACCUACAAUCAGCAUGGCUACCGUGAAUUACUUUCCCGGGGU
rnacentral:rRNA from 1 species